rnacentral:rRNA from 1 species
UGCCAGACUCCUACGGGAGGCAGCAGUGAGGAAUAUUGGUCAAUGGGCGAGAGCCUGAACCAGCCAAGUCGCGUGAAGGAUGACGGCCCUACGGGUUGUAAACUUCUUUUGUCAGGGAGCAAUUGGGUCCACGCGUGGGCUUAGCGAGAGUACCUGAAGAAAAAGCAUCGGCUAACUCCGUGCCAGCAGCCGCGGUAAUACGGAGGAUGCGAGCGUUAUCCGGAUUUAUUGGGUUUAAAGGGUGCGUAGGCGGAAGGUUAAGUCAGCGGUCAAAUGUCGGUGCUCAACACCGGCCUGCCGUUGAAACUGGUCUUCUUGAGUGAGCGAGAAGUAUGCGGAAUGCGUGGUGUAGCGGUGAAAUGCAUAGAUAUCACGCAGAACUCCGAUUGCGAAGGCAGCAUACCGGCGCUCAACUGACGCUGAGGCACGAAAGCGUGGGGAUCGAACAGGAUUAGAUACCCUAGUAU